rnacentral:ncRNA from 1 species
AAAAAAGCAACGAAUAGAUGAGUAUAUUUUACUUAAAUCAAAGAGAGCCCUGACUGGUGGAAAAGGGUAUGGCGGUAAGAUAGAAGAUGGUCUAUGAGCAAGAGCAAGUGAGCUGAUUGGUGAGCAAGCUACGGGCACACCCGUUAUAGUGUAACGAUAUCGAAUGAGUAUUCUGUAUCGGCAGAGGUUCUAUGAUAGAACGAAUUAAGGUGGUAACACGGCAGAUGAUGCACGUCCUUUGU